GCCGGUGUGGCGAAACUGGCAGACGCACCGCACUCAAAAUGCGGCGGAGUGAUCCAUGCCGGUUCGAGUCCGGCCACCGGCACCA
rnacentral:tRNA from 1 species